CAUGCAGUCGAACGGUGAAGAGAGCUUGCUCUCUGGAUCAGUGGCGAACGGGUGAGUAACACGUGAGCAAUCUGCCCCUGACUCUGGGAUAACAGCUGGAAACAGCUGCUAAUACCGGAUACGAGCUGCGAAGGCAUCUUCAGCAGCUGGAAAGAAUUUCGGUCAGGGAUGAGCUCGCGGCCUAUCAGCUUGUUGGUGAGGUAAUGGCUCACCAAGGCGUCGACGGGUAGCCGGCCUGAGAGGGUGACCGGCCACACUGGGACUGAGACACGGCCCAGACUCCUACGGGAGGCAGCAGUGGGGAAUAUUGCACAAUGGGCGAAAGCCUGAUGCAGCAACGCCGCGUGAGGGACGACGGCCUUCGGGUUGUAAACCUCUUUUAGCAAGGAAGAAGCGAAAGUGACGGUACUUGCAGAAAAAGCGCCGGCUAACUACGUGCCAGCAGCCGCGGUAAUACGUAGGGCGCAAGCGUUAUCCGGAAUUAUUGGGCGUAAAGAGCUCGUAGGCGGUUUGUCGCGUCUGCUGUGAAAACCCGAGGCUCAACCUCGGGCCUGCAGUGGGUACGGGCAGACUAGAGUGCGGUAGGGGAGAUUGGAACUCCUGGUGUAGCGGUGGAAUGCGCAGAUAUCAGGAAGAACACCGAUGGCGAAGGCAGAUCUCUGGGCCGUAACUGACGCUGAGGAGCGAAAGGGUGGGGAGCAAACAGGCUUAGAUACCCUGGUAGUCCACCCCGUAAACGUUGGGAACUAGUUGUGGGGUCCAUUCCACGGAUUCCGUGACGCAGCUAACGCAUUAAGUUCCCCGGCCUGGGGAGUACGGCCGCAAGGCUAAAACUCAAAGGGAAUUGACGGGGACCCGCACAAGCGGCGGAGCAUGCGGAUUAAUUCGAUGCAACGCGAAGAACCUUACCAAGGCCUUGAACAUAUAGAGGAAAACGUCUUGGAAACAAUCGCCCCGCAAGGUCUCCU
rnacentral:rRNA from 1 species